UUAUACAAUAAAGUUGCCUUUUCUUCCACCUCCUUGCGCCACGUCAUCAUGGAAGGAGGGGCUUCUUUGGACACGUGUCACAUUUCAAUUCUUCAUUCGCAAAACCGAUCUGUUUUCGUUUAUACCAAAUCAUGUUCUAUAUCUGGGCUUUUAUCAUGCUAUUCUGUUCAGGCCCAAUGUAUUGUGGGUUUGAAGACAGUAUGAACCUCAACUUAGAGAUCAACGCCGUCGUUUUCCAAGCCGCCCCCAUGAGCUUCCUGUAACGCUUUCAGUUUUAAUUUACUUGCUCCUUUAAUCCAAGAAUUUACAUUGUUCAUCCCAAGCCUUUUAAUCUAGCUAUGCAUCUCUUCAUACGUAACGGCAAAAGCUCUCUUAUAAAUUUGUAUGCUUUACGCGAUGAGCAGCACCGUCUAUACGAAAUCGAGAAGGGGAUUCCUUGCUAACCAACUCCAACAAUAAUGAAUUCCUUCACCCUACUUACUGAUUUGAAAGCUGGCUGCUAUUGAAACACAGGCGAGGUCCGUUUUGGAGGUUUUUGGUGGCUAGGAAUGCGAAGAAAGGCAGCAAUCUGAUGGGUUUUGGUUGACAUGCUACUCAUUUACGAGAAGUCCAACACUUAUGCAAGGAUCCAUUGAAGCCUCUGUUUCUGAAAGGUUAAGAGCUCACAUGCUAUGUUUUCCUCUCGGCUCAAACAGCCGCCGACGGACCGGGUUGAAAUGGGCGAUGGAGGUUGGGUGGUGAAAAGAACAUGACGUAAUUUGCUAGACUACAAAUAUUUCCUUAUAACUCAACUCAUAUGGAUUUUAGUCUGCAAUUACUUCAGCUCUAGAUUUAAUUUCUUAUAAUUGUCUAUAUUGAUAUUGGGUUAGAGUUCGGUCACAAUAAAACUGUUUAGCUGGUUUAAUUGCUUAUAUUGCUGAGAAAGCUUUGGUAGCUCAGUUUAUAGACAUGAAAGAUCUCUAAAAACAUUAGUGCAAAUCUUGAGGCUUGCAUAGGGGAGAUGUCAAAUAGAGGAGCUUUACCAGACUGUGAGCAGAAUGAUAACUGAACACACAGAGAUCAACUCUAAAAAAUAUUCUACAGUCAGCUGAUAAUUCCAUUCAAUGGUAAUGGUUGAAUAAUAUUUUAAACUCAUUUUCAUUGCCAAAUAUUUGUUUUUUUGUUAACACCUAUCCAUAUGUUUACGAGGAGUUUAUUACCUGUGACUCUGUGAGUACAUAGAUCAGGUAUAUAUGCAAGGUCUCAAAGAUAUACUUUGGUUUCUGUUGGUAGUGCAUAUUGGAGGCAAAUGUCAUAUUGAAGUUCCAUAAGCUUCAUUCGGUUUUAGAUACAAGCUGUGAUGGCACAAUAGUUAUCUUGCCUAUUAAUUCUUUUGCAAAGAGAGAUGUCCGUUACCGGAUUUAUUCAUGUAAGCAUAAACCUUGAACUCUGUUUGCAGGCUUAGUCUUCAUGUUUUUGCUCCAAGUUCGUAGGGACAGAUGGUAAAUGCUAUGGUCGGGUCAGAUAGACAACGAUUUGGAAGAUAACCUUUUCAAGCUCACACAUUUCUCACACAUCUCGAACAUGUAAGCGAUGGAGAGAGUGAGAUGGAGCAUGAUACGGAAAGUGAGGUGAGAGAUGGCAAAAGCUAUUUCUGCAGUGAAAACUGUCACAAGAGAGGUCGAAAGUCUCUAGGACAUGCUGAGUUUAUAAGAGCUGUAAUAUUUUUGUUUGGUUUUGAAGAAAAGAUGAAUGAAAGAUUGUUUUAAGUUGA